UCCUACGGGAGGCAGCAGUGGGGAAUUUUGGACAAUGGGGGCAACCUUGAUCCAGCAAUGCCGCGUGAGUGAAGAAGGCCUUCGGGUUGUAAAGCUCUUUUGUCAGGGAAGAAACGGUGAGAGCUAAUAUCUCUUGCUAAUGACGGUACCUGAAGAAUAAGCACCGGCUAACUACGUGCCAGCAGCCGCGGUAAUACGAGGGGAGCAAGCGUUGUUCGGAAUCACUGGGCGUAAAGGGCGUGUAGGCGGUUCGGUAAGUGGGAUGUGAAAUGCCCGGGCUCACCCCGGGACCUGCAUCCCAUACUGCUGAGCUUGAGUACAGGAGAGGGUGGGGGAAUUCCUGGUGUAGCGGUGAAAUGCGUAGAUAUCAGGAGGAACACCGGUGGCGAAGGCGCCCACCUGGCCUGCUACUGACGCUGAUGCGCGAAAGCUAGGGGAGCAAACGGGAUUAGAUACCCCGGUAGUCCUAGCCGUAAACGGUGAUCACUAGGUGUUGGGAGCAUCGACCCUUCCAGUGCCGCAGCUAACGCAUUAAGUGAUCCGCCUGGGGAGUACGGCCGCAAGGUUGAAACUCAAAGGAAUUGACGGGGGCCCGCACAAGCGGUGGAGCAUGUGGUUCAAUUCGACGCAACGCGAAGAACCUUACCCAGACUUGACAUGCACUGGACUGGUGUGGAAACACAUCUUCCCUUCGGGGCCAGUGCACAGGUGCUGCAUGGCUGUCGUCAGCUCGUGUCGUGAGAUGUUGGGUUAAGUCCCGCAACGAGCGCAACCCUUGUCCUUAGUUGCUAACGAGUCAAGUCGAGCACUCUAAGGAGACUGCCGGUGGCAAACCGGAGGAAGGUGGGGAUGACGUCAAGUCCUCAUGGCCCUUACGUCUGGGGCUACACACGUGCUACAAUGGCCGGUACAAAGGGCUGCGAUACCGCGAGGUGGAGCCAAUCCCAAAAAACCGGUCUCAGUUCGGAUUGCAGUCUGCAACUCGACUGCAUGAAGUCGGAAUCGCUAGUAAUCGCUGAUCAGCAGGCAGCGGUGAAUACGUUCCCGGGCCUUGUACACACC
rnacentral:rRNA from 1 species